UACAGAGGUCGCAAGCGUUGUUCGGAUUUAUUGGGCGUAAAGGGUGCGUAGGUGGCUCGCUAAGUCAGGUGUGAAAUUUCGGAGCUUAACUCCGAAACUGCAUUUGAUACUGGCGUGCUUGAGGACUGGAGAGGAGACUGGAAUUCACGGUGUAGCGGUGAAAUGCGCAGAUAUCAGGAGGAACACCGAUGGCGAAGGCAGGUCUCUGGGCCACUACUGACGCUGAGAAGCGAAAGCAUGGGGAGCGAACAGG
rnacentral:rRNA from 1 species